CCCUUAGAUGUCCUGGGCUGCACGCGCGCUACACUGGAAGUUACGGAUUGAGAUACUACCUUGUCCGAAAUGGUCCGGGUAAUCACCUAAAAGCCUGUCAUAAUUGGAAUGGAUUAUUGUAACUAGUAAUCCUGAACGAGGAAUUCCUAGUAAGUCCCAGUCAACAGCUGGUACUGAUUACGUCCCUGCCCUUUGUACACACCGCCCGUCGCUACUACUGAUUGGACGUUUAAGCAAGAUUUUUAAACACUGACAGUGUGUAGUUCACGCUAUACUACAGUGAGAAGAAGAAGAUCGAGCUUACUUGUCUAGAGGAAGUAAAAGUCGUAACA
rnacentral:rRNA from 1 species